AGCUCUGAUUGGACUCCUAGCCUGGGAACUUCCAUAUACUGCAGGUGAGGCCCUAAAAAAAGCAAACAAAAAGCCAACCCCUGCCCCCCAAAAAAGGAAGAAAAAAAAUAAAAUAAGCCUUACCUAAGUAUCAAAACAAUUGGCUAAACUUUUGGGGGAGGGAGUUCUCGUCGUGGCGCAGUGGUUAACGAAUCCGACUAGGAACCAUGAGGUUGCGGGUUCAGUCCCUGCCCUUGCUCAGUGGGUUAACGAUCCGGCGUUGCCGUGAGCUGUGGUGUAGGUUGCAGACGCGGCUCGGAUCCUGCGUUGCUGUGCCUCUGGCAUAGGCCGGUGGCUACAGCUCCGAUUCAACCCCUAGCCUGGGAACCUCCAUAUGCCACGGGAGCGGCCCAAGAAAUAGCAACAACAACAACAACAACAACAAAAGACAAAAAGACAAAAGACAAAAUAAAUAAAUAAAUAAAUAAAUAAAUAAAUAAAUAAAUAAAUAAACUUUUGGGGGAGAGGUGGCGGAUACUUCAUUAGUACAUAAUUAAUUGUAAUAAUGAAAUGUCAUUGUAAAGAUUAUGCUAUUGGAAAUUAUCUUCUCAGUCAUGGAACUUUGAGAUAUACCAAAGCUCCUAUUGAUAUGAGAGUAAAUUAUUAAAUGAAAAGAAGUAUUUUGAAUUCAUUCACCACCUUUCUUCUUGUUUCCAGCACCUAUGCCAUUUGGCAAUGGGAUUUUUUCUUAGUAAAUAUGGGAAUAUGUGUGUGUAUGUGGAAGAGGAACUUACUGGAGGUCCUUCUCAUGGCUGUGGCAAUGUGCAUGUCCACUAGCUUUGUGAAAUGCAGAUGGAGUAUAAUUUUCCCCAAAUUGAUCUGUUCUACAUCAUUGAGUUUCAGCUAUUUGCAUUUUAAAGCCAGAAUCAAAUUUAGCUUAUGAUUAUUGUUGUGGAAAAUCAUUAUAAUCCUUUAAUUGUCAUGGCUCUUGAUGAUUUUUUAAAAAUUCACAAAUGUUAUUUAAUUCCAUAUUCACUAUGACAUAGGACAUUGAGCAGAGUAGGAACUAUCAAAUGUGUCUCCAACUUCAAACUGCCCCUCUUUUUCAGUUGGGAAAUUAAGGUUCUCAAUGGUUAGCUGAUGUGCCCCUGGCCAUACUGAUGUAAGUUAUAGAAGCAGGAACAGAAACCAGAGUGAAUGGCUCUGCCCUGUCCUGAGUUCUGUCCCAUCAAGAUGAGUCUUCAAAGUCUGUCAAGUGGGUGUGAUUAGCUUUGCCUUGCAGGCUCACUGUCUGUGUCAUGUAUAUGUAGGCUAGGUGGCACAGGGUGCCCAGUUGCUCCUGUCUCUUCCCAUCUCCAUGCAAUGGCAGGUGCCAUUUGGAGAUCAGAAAGCCUCCGGGGCUGAGAUGAGAGAACAAAAAGCCUUCCUCUUAACCAGCCUGAAAGCCAAGGGGCAACGCAUGUGCGUGUACAUACAUACACACACACAUACACACAAACACACCUGCCAGCAUGCACUAUGAAUAUACAUGCAUGUGUCAGGGGAAGAGCACCUCUCUGAAUUUCAAAGCUCCAGUAGGUUAAGAAAACAUCUCUUCUCAUCUGCUUCUGUUCCAUCUCUACAAUCAGCUCCAUAAAGGCUCCACCACCCAAGUACAUUCAUGACAACCCACUUUCCAGAUCUAAAUGAUACAACUCCUCCAAGUCCUUGGCUUUCAUUGUCAAUUGGUUCUUCCAUUUGCCUGCUGACUGACGCACACAGUUUUUGGCAUCCUCCAGUCCUGAAGACUCUGCUGGGUGUAUCCUUCCUGUCCAGUGGUCGUUUUUAGCUGGAAGUUGGGUAAAAAGAUGUAGCAAUAGCCAGGAUAGUGUCUCUUUGUGCCUCUCACCCCCUUAGCAAGCUCAGCUGGAGUGGCACUCACAGGAUGUUCCCACUGUGGCCUCCUCUCCCACGCUGGACUCCAGGGCUGGAACCAACCUUUGCCAUCACCUGGUCCAACCCCCUUCUUUUACAGACAAGGGGUUCCAGCCUUAAUUCUGGACCUAAGCUACCUGAGAGAGGUAUUUUUAUUCAUUGGUCAUGGGACAUCUAGAUAAACCAGGCCUUAUUUACCCAUCUGCAGUGCCUUGGGAAAGAGUCAGAGUUCCCCCACCUUUCAGUGAGAAAUUGUUUUCAGAUGCGAGUAACAAAGACGACUGAGGCCAUUUGAACAAACAGCCUGGGGCAGCUGUCUAGAGGUCCCUUUCAAGGCCUCAGGACCCCAGGGCUGUUUUCUGUCUUUCCCUCGAGCUGUUACCUCAGGUUCUCAAGAGGAUGGCUGCACCUCCAGGUGUGUGUCUGCAUAUCAGCCAGGAAGAAGAAGGCAAGAGGAGGGGACAUUGCUACAAACUUCUCACAUCUCAUUGGCCUAUACUGUGACUCUGCCAAAUGGCUUCUCUGGCUAUGGGAACCUGCUCUCUCUGAGCAGGCCAGAGAGACAGGACUGCCCCUGAUCCCCUCCCCAGGGGCAGCCCUCUACUAAUCAGUAACUGAUAGCAAUUGGUGGAUCACUACCCCAGCUCCCUUGCCCUUUGGGGUAAUGGUGGAUAAUGUCAGGACAUUGGUGCUACACUGUCCCGAAGCGGAAUUAAGCUUCAGUUUUGCCCACUUGUCUGAUAGUGCAUCUCCUGUUGGUUUACUUUCCUUCCUUGCCCACUCGCCUGCUGGUGCUUGUUGGGAUCACCUCCCAAUCAAACUGCUUGCACUAGAGCUGCUCUUUUAGGGUAAGUUUCUGCAGAAGAAACCAAACUAAGAUGAGGAGGAAGCCCAGGAUCAUAAAGUUAAGGAAAUUGUCCAGGGUUGCCAGUUAAUAAGUGGGCAGCCAGGAUUCAAGUCUGGGUCUCACAGAUUCCAAGCUUGACUUCUGAGCUUCUACCCUGAACCAUGACUGUCUGACAGCCCCUGCAUCAAAGGGGGACCACAGCAAAGCAGGGCUACCUUCAAGCUGAAAAAGGAUUUGGCUGCUCUUGGCCUCCCUCAAGUGUCAGAAACUGCAGGAACAGCUGGGGGACAGUUUUGAAUUCUCCUCCACCUCCACCUUUAGCUCAAGGCUCAUGAAAGCUAUCAAAGGAAAAAUCAGGCCCUCCCUGGAAGCUGUUUCCCUUCUUUGCGGUCUACAGUACAGUCAGCAUGGCUUCUCCUACCUUGGCCUUCUACCCAAAGUCCCUCUGGAAGGGAACAGAGCAGAUGCUGGUUCCCUGGGGCUCUGCUCAGAAAAUGGGCUCAUCGGGGAAGGGUGACAGAGAACACACUGUGUUCCUUCCCAGGGAAGAGCAAGUCCCACCUGGCAAAGUCUUCCAAGGCUGAGGGAACAAGUACAGACUCUCCCCACAGGCAUGUCCUCCUACAGCUGGCCCUCACUAAUGCAAUCUUCAAGACUCAGGACGAACAUUCCUGGGGUGAGGGGGGGUGGAGGCAGAUGACACAUGCUAAACUCACAGGAGGCUACCCCCAGACUCUUAGCACAGCAGAGCCCAGAGGAGGCUCUUAUCUGGCUCUGUCCUGCCCCUCCUGCAAACCCAGACCCUCCCUUCUCUCAGAGACUCAGCCCCACCAGGCAAAAUGAGCCCAACCACAGACCCGAGAUCUCUGAAUCCUUUAGAGAGGAGAGAGGACUUUGUCAGGGCACUAGGUCAGGUUCGAGAUGUGCAGGGCCAGGACAGUCUCUCUGCAGUGGUGUGUAGGUUUGGGAUAUGGACCCAGAUAGGAGCCUAGGCUUAUGUGGUUAGAGUAUAGGACCUAGGGUUAGGUGGGCCUGGAUUCAGAUCCCAGCCCUGCCUCUCACCAAAGUCCCUGAGGAAAAAGAUGAUGUCUCUUUUAUGCAACUACCAAGUACAUACCAGGUACUAAAUAAAUGAUAAAAUUAUUAUUACUAAUGAUGCCUGAGGAGAAUAUAGAACAAGGAUAAUGUGACUCCAUUUGGGUAAAAAUUGGGGUGUACGGAUAGGAUAUUUACCACAGAUGUUAACAGUAGUUACCUCUGGGUAAUGGGAUUUGGAGGCAGUUUUUGAUUUUUUUUUUAAUCUGUGUGUAUUUUUUUUUUACAUUUUAUAAUGUAUGUGCAUAUAAGAAAAAAUGCCUGUCUAAACCGCAACAGUUUCCAGAAAAAGCUGUAUUAUUAUUAUUAUUAUUAUUAUUAUUUAUUAUUACUAUUUGGCCAUGCCCAAGGCAUGUGGAAGUUCCCUGGACAGGGAUCUAAUCCAUCCCGAAGUUGUGACCUGCUCCACAGUUGUGGCAAUGCCCCAUCCUUAACCCACUGCACCACAAAGGAAGUACAGGGCUGGAUUCUUAAGGCACUUAAGUGUGGGUGUUUUGGACUGGGAGCUUAAGAGGAGCUGAAUUACUCUUCGUAGCAAGAGAAGAAUUUGGAUGCCCAGAGCAACCUGAAGGGCAGGGGGAGAAUGGGAAGGGAUGUUUGUAUGGGUAUAGACGAGGAAGCCCAUUGACAGAAGCCUGUGUGGUUGGCAAUGUCUCUUUAAAUUUUGCAUGAAGUUUACUACUCACUCAAAUGCUUGGUCUGAGUGAUUUUCAUUUGGGGAACUGAAACUGGGGCUGGACUUCUCAUAAGAGUUAAUAUGGCCUAGGACAGAGGCAGCAUCUGAGGACACAUAACCCACCACGAACAAGCCAUUCCACUCCAAUAUCAAUCAGGAGAAAUCUCGGGAAGCUUCUUGAUUCCCAUGGAGCAUAGAUUUGCUCAAGCUUGAGGGGAACUGCCCUGGUUAGCAAUUGCCGCAUAACAAGCUAUCCCAAACUUAUUGGCAUAAAGCAACAAAAAUCAUCUAUUGUUUUCUCUCACAGUUCUGAGUGAUGUCUGGGCUUGGCUGGGCAGUUCUUACUUGGGGUCCCUUCUGCAGUUGUAUUCAGGUGGAUGCAGCUGGAGUCAUGGAGGAGAUUUCCCCACUUGUGUUUCUGGUGCCAGAUCUGGAGAGGCUCAGGUAGCUGAGGUUCCUGGAGAACUUCUCUCUCUCUCUCUGUGGGGUCUCUCCACAUGGUACCUGCAGCUGGGCUUCUUUGGGGAUGGUGGACUUCUUAUAUUCAUGGCUCUAAAGGCGUGUGUCCUGAGAGAGAGAGACCCAGGUGGAAGCUGGAUUGCUUUUCUGACCCAGCUUUAGAAGUCACACAAAGUCACUUCCAUGGCAUGCUAUUAGUCAAAACAGUCGAAAGGCCCACCCAAGAUCAAGAGAGACAACACAGGCUCCAUCUUUUGUUGGAGGAGUUGCAAGGUUCUAGAAUGACCAUGUGGGAUUAAAAAUAUUUCUGUGGCCAUUUUUGGGAAAUACAAUCUGUCAGAAG
rnacentral:lncRNA from 9 species